rnacentral:rRNA from 1 species
GACGAACGCUGGCGGCGUGCUUAACACAUGCAAGUCGAACGGAAAGGCCCUGCUUUUGUGGGGUGCUCGAGUGGCGAACGGGUGAGUAACACGUGAGUAACCUGCCCUUGACUUUGGGAUAACUUCAGGAAACUGGGGCGAAUACCGGAUAGGAGCUCCUGCUGCAUGGUGGGGGUUGGAAAGUUUCGGCGGUUGGGGAUGGACUCGCGGCUUAUCAGCUUGUUGGUGGGGUAGUGGCUUACCAAGGCUUUGACGGGUAGCCGGCCUGAGAGGGUGACCGGCCACAUUGGGACUGAGAUACGGCCAAGACUCAUACGGGAGGAAACAGUGGGGAAUAUUGCACAAAGGGCGGAAGCCUGAUGCAGCAACGCCGCGUGCGGGAUGACGGCCUUCGGGUUGUAAACCGCUUUCGCCUGUGACGAAGCGUGAGUGACGGUAAUGGGUAAAGAAGCACCGGCUAACUACGU